AGGUUGUUUUCAGUAAUGUAGCUUGGUUUAUUAUUUUUUAAAUUUUGUUUUUGUUUUAUAUGUAUAGGUGUUUUCCUGCAUGUAUGUCUGUGUACCUGAGGAGGCCAGAAGACUAUAUCAGCUAGAUCUGGAACUGGAGUUACAGAGGGCUGUGAGUCCCUAUGUGCCUGCUGGGAAUUGAACCUGGGUCCUCUGGAAGAGAAGCCAGUGCUCUUAACCGGUCAUCUCCGAUGGCACACGUGUUUCCUACUGCUACGACUACUCCUAUCAGUGUGCGAGCAUGUGCUCUUGAUGUGUGUGAGCACGUGUGCAAUGGCUCACGCCUGGAGGCCAGAGUAAACCAUGUGCAGUUGUUUCUCUCCUUCUUCCUUUACAUGGACCCCAGGGACUGAGCUCAGGUCAUCAGGCUUGUGAAGCAAGCACCUAGAAUCCCCAGGCCAUCUCACCAUCUCAGCUUGGUAAAGCUGAGAAAAAAGAUCACAUUUUCCUUGGCGAGAAAAGCUGCAGUUUCUUCCGGAACACCUUUGAAGAGAGGGGCCCACCGCAGUCCCUGUCCUUGGAGAUGGUGCAUUGUCGGUGCAUGAACCGUGACAAAGGCCUUUGAGGCUGAGAAAUGGAUGAAAGGACCGCAUGCAGGCCAUUCGUCUCUAGCAAGCAGCGUCCUCAAAUGCUAGCUGUGCAGGUUAAACAGGAGCCAGAAGUUCCCAGCAGCCUCCCCAGUCCUGUUUGCAGAUGGUUUACGGACGGGCGUUGAAGCCUCAGGACCCUCCCUUCUUCCCUCUGCGGAACACUCUUGCUGGUGCCCACUCCUUAACUUGUGUUCCUGUUAAGUGCCCGAGGUUGCAAUCCUCUGCAAUUAUCUGGCAAGCGCCAUCAGGGGAGAUGCUGGAGCCUUAGAAGUGGUCUCAGAAGCGGAGCAGUGUCAUGAUCACUUUGCAAAUUGAAGAACAGCACACAAGGCAAAUAUGAGGAAGCCCCAUGAAGUGCUGACCAAGACCAACUUCCCUUCCUGUCCUGGGGCUCCGCGUGGGAUGCAGGCGGGGAGGAGGGAAAACUACGAACCACAUAGCGAGCUUGGUUGAGAUCCUAAGAGAUCUGCCGGGAGACUUCCUUUGUUGUGCCUCAGAGGACUCCUGGUACCAACGGCUCUGUGCCCACCUGGGUCAGGGUGUGGAACUUAGCUGUGAGGAAGAAGUAGUCUUAGCACCAGGGAAGGGAGUUAGUCUCAGGGCAGAGUUGUGUACCCCAGGAAGCUCAGGGCACUGGAGGGCACUGGGGGGUGUACGGCAGUGGAGCGUGGUCCUGAGAAGGGUUGGGCUAAGGUGUAGUAGGGAUGUCUCUGCUGAGGUGGGACAGGAACAGAAGUCAAUGGCCCAUUCAAGGCCACCAGGUCUGGGCCUGGAGUCAGAACUGUGUUCCUAGCUUUAUUUCAUCAAAGGAAAACCACCGAGUGUUUGAGGAAAGAGGGACUUGAGUUUAUGAAAUCAUUUGGGCAUGUGAUUCCCAGGGUGGUGGUGGUGGUGUUGACUACAAUGGGUUUGUGCUCUGUUCUGGGUUAGUAUUUCAGAAAGGGGAGCAAUUUGGUGAGUAGGUACCUUGUCUUAGUCACACUCCUUGAUUUAACCUGUAGGUCUGGACGUGGGAGGACAGAGCUAUCUGCAGCUAUGGCUUGGAGAGGAACAGCGAUGACUCACCUUAGGGGAGGGAGAGGAAGCUCGGCACUCCACCUCCCCCGUUCAGUUAUGGAGUGCGGUUUUCUUUUUAUAUAAUUGGACUUCUCAGUUGAUGCUGAUAUUGUCUUGGGGACAUCACAAGCUAGCAGGGAGCAGCUAGGUUGGCUACCAAAUGAAACAUCUCAGAGAUGUUCUCCCCUCCCUUUUCAUCAAAAUAACCUGGGAUCCGCGUACUGAGAGAUGAAUAGGAGUUUUCUAGAUCAACUGGGUGGCGCUGAGUAUCCCAGGAGGCAGUGGGCACAGAGUAGGUCAGGACUGCAGAAAUAAGGGUGUGUGAGGAGUUGGGGGGGGCAGGCCAAGGAGAUGGGCAGGGCCAGCUGAUGAGAGACGGGAGAGUUUGACUGAGAACCUCUGCCUUCUUCUAAGUGCUCACUCAGCUCAGAGCAGCUGAUUGACAAAUGUUUACUGAAAUAGACUAUUGGAUACUGAAUCAAACCCCUUCUUGUGUAUCCCAGGCCAUAAAGAAGAGCUGUGUGUGGGUUUGGAUGCCGUCCUCCCUGGAGAGCAGACCGCACUGGACUUCGGCAGUCGUGGAGCUGAGGGGAUCCUUACUACACGAUCCCCAAUCCCACUGCACUCCACAGGCUGCGACUCAGAAGCCGCAGUGCCACCACCGAUCUUUUCUUCCACUCUUCCCUCUCAGUGACUCCAAAUGUUCCCUCAUGCCAACACCCAAACUGUUUCUGUGGCUAUCGUCAGGCAGUACACGCCUUUAAUCCCAGUGCUCAGGAGGCAGAGUCAAGCAGAUCUCUGUGAGCUGGAGGUCAGUCUGCUCUACAUAGUGAGGUCCAGGUCAGCGAGGACUGUGAAGAGAGACUGUGUCUCAAUAAAAAGUGACAACAACCCCCACAUUGAAACACAUGCCUAUUAUAUCAAAAAUUCCCUGCCCCCACCCCACCUGGUGUUGGGGACUGAACCCAAGGCCUCUGAUAGUGAGGUAAGAGCUUUUCCACUAGGCUGUAUCCUCAGCUGGCAUCUGCCAUCCAAAGUCUCACAUGGGUCCCGUGUCUGUCUAGGGUCAGGUCUUACCAUCAGGCUGAAAUAAGCUGUGGUAGUUUGAGUAGAUAUGGCCCCCAUAGGCUCCUGUGUUUGAAUGCUUGGCCCCAAGGAGUAGCACCAUCAGGAAAUGUGACCUUGUUGGAAUAGGUGUGGCCUUGUUGGAGGAAGUGUGUCAUUGUGGAGGUGGGCUUUGAGGUCUCAUAUGUUCAAGCUACAUCCAGUAUGCCACAGUCUCCAACUCCCGUGGAUCAAGAUGUAGUAGAACUCUCAGCUCCUUCUCCAGCACCAUGUCUGCCUGCACGAUGCCAUGUCCCACCAUGACAAUGAUGGACUAAAACUC